rnacentral:rRNA from 1 species
UACGUAGGGUGCGAGCGUUAAUCGGAAUUACUGGGCGUAAAGCGUGCGCAGGCGGUUGUGCAAGACAGAUGUGAAAUCCCCGGGCUUAACCUGGGAAUUGCAUUUGUGACUGCACGGCUAGAGUGUGUCAGAGGGAGGUAGAAUUCCACGUGUAGCAGUGAAAUGCGUAGAUAUGUGGAGGAAUACCGAUGGCGAAGGCAGCCUCCUGGGAUAACACUGACGCUCAUGCACGAAAGCGUGGGGAGCAAACAGG